UGGGGAAUAUUGCACAAUGGGGAAACCCUGAUGCAGCAACGCCGCGUGAAGGAAGACGGUUUUCGGAUUGUAAACUUCUUUUCUUAGUGAAGAAGCAAGUGACGGUAGCUAAGGAAUAAGCAUCGGCUAACUACGUGCCAGCAGCCGCGGUAAUACGUAGGAUGCGAGCGUUAUCCGGAAUUACUGGGUGUAAAGGGAGCGCAGGCGGGACUGCAAGUUGGAUGUGAAAUACCGCAGCUUAACUGCGGAGCUGCAUCCAAAAACUGUAGUUCUUGAGUGGAGUAGAGGCAAGCGGAAUUCCGAGUGUAGCGGUGAAAUGCGUAGAUAUUCGGAGGAACACCAGUGGCGAAGGCGGCUUGCUGGGCUCUAACUGACGCUGAGGCUCGAAAGUGUGGGAGCAAACAGGAUUAGAUACC
rnacentral:rRNA from 1 species